GAUGAACGCUAGCUACAGGCUUAACACAUGCAAGUCGAGGGACCGGCGCACGGGUGAGUAACACGUAUCCAACCUGCCCUUUACUCGGGGAUAGCCUUUCGAAAGAAAGAUUAAUACCCGAUAUAAAGGAUGGGGAUGCGUUCCAUUAGGUUGUUGGUGAGGUAACGGCUAACCACUCCUUCGAUGGAUAGGGGUUCUGAUAGGAAGGUCCCCCACAUUGGAACUGCGGCACGGUCCAAACUCGUACGUGAGGCAGCAGUGAGGAAUAUAGGUCAAUGGGCGCUAGCCUGGACCAGCCAAGUAGCGGGAAGAAUGAAUGCUUAUGGAUCGUAAACUUCUAUUGUAUAAGAAUAGGUAUUAUAUGAAUAAGGAUCGGCUAACUCCGUGCCAGCCGCCGCGGUAAUAC
rnacentral:rRNA from 1 species